rnacentral:rRNA from 1 species
GAUCAAGCUACAAAGGGCGCACGGUGAAUGCCCUGGCACUAGGAGCCGAUGAAGGACGUGAUAAGCUGCGAUAAGCUACAUGUAGGCGCACAUAGCCUGUGAUAUGUAGAUUUCCGAAUGGGGAAACCCAUCUAGUUAUGCUAGAUACUGUAUACUGAAUUCAUAGGUAUAUGGAGGUACACCUGGGGAACUGAAACAUCUAAGUACCCAGAGGAAGAGAAAGAAAAUUCGAUUCCCUAAGUAGCGGCGAGCGAAAGGGGAAGAGCCCAAACCAGGAACUUGUUCCUGGGGUUGCGGAUAGGUCAUAACGCUUUGAUUUCUUUAGUUGAAGAGAACUGGAAAGUUCCGUCGUAGAAGGUAAUAACCCUGUAGGCGAAAAGGAAAGAAAAGUAGAUCUACUCCAGAGUACCACGAGACACGUGAAACCUUGUGGGAAGCUGGGAGGACCAUCUCCCAAGGCUAAAUACUACCUAGUGACCGAUAGUGAAGCAGUACCGUGAGGGAAAGGUGAAAAGAACCCCGGAAGGGGAGUGAAAUAGAAUCUGAAACCGUGUGCCUACAAUCGGUCGGAGCACAUUAAAGUGUGACGGCGUACUUUUUGUAGAACGGGCCAGCGAGUUACGAUAUAUAGCAAGGUUAAGCACUUAUGGUGUGGAGCCGAAGGGAAACCGAGUCUGAAUAGGGCAACUAGUUGUAUAUUGUAGACCCGAAACCGGGUGACCUAUCCAUGGCCAGGAUGAAGCGGAAGUAAAAUUCCGUGGAGGUCCGAACCACGUUGGUGUUGAAAAACCAUGGGAUGAGCUGUGGAUAGCGGAGAAAUUCCAAUCGAACUCGGAGAUAGCUGGUUCUCCUCGAAAUAGCUUUAGGGCUAGCGUCGGGUAAUUGAGUAGUGGAGGUAGAGCACUGAAUGGGCUAGGGGCUGACAACAGUUACUGAACCCUAUCAAACUCCGAAUGCCAUAUACUUGUACCCCGGCAGUCAGACUACGAAUGAUAAGAUCCGUGGUCAAAAGGGAAACAGCCCAGACCAUCAGCUAAGGUCCCAAAGUGUAAGUU